rnacentral:rRNA from 1 species
ACGAAGGGGGCGAGCGUUGUUCGGAAUUACUGGGCGUAAAGCGUACGUAGGCGGCAAAGCAAGUUAGAAGUGAAAGCCCAGGGCUCAACCUUGGAAUUGCUUUUAAAACUGCUUAGCUAGAAUCUCGGAGAGGAUAGCGGAAUUUCCAGUGUAGAGGUGAAAUUCGUAGAUAUUGGAAGGAACACCAGUGGCGAAGGCGGCUAUCUGGACGAGUAUUGACGCUGAGGUACGAAAGCGUGGGGAGCAAACAGG